rnacentral:rRNA from 1 species
UUGGUACUAAUACUCGAAUGGUUUAGUGGCGCACGGGUGAGUAACACGUGAAUUACAUGCCCUUCAGUGGGGAAUAGCCCAGGGAAACUUGGAUUAAUACCCCAUGGUAUCGCAAGAUUAAAGGUGGCCGCAAGGCUGCCGCUGAAGGAUUGGUUCGCGCCCUAUCAUCUUGUUGGUGAGGUAACGGCUCACCAAGGCUACGACGGAUACCUGGUCUGAGAGGACGAUCAGGCACACUGGAACUGAGACACGGUCCAGACACCUACGGGUGGCAGCAGUCGAGAAUAAUUCACAAUGGGGGCAACCCUGAUGGUGCAACGCCGCGUGGAGGAUGACGGUCUUCGGAUUGUAAACUCCUGUCAUCUGGGAGAAAGACCUGGGAGUUAAUAGCUCACAGGGUUGAUAGUACCAUAAGAGGAAGGGACGGCUAACUUCGUGCCAGCAGCCGCGGUAAUACGAAGGUCCCGAGCGUUGUUCUGAAUCACUGGGCGUAAAGGGAGCGUAGGCAGCGCGCUAAGUCAGAUGUGAAAUCCCGGGGCUCAACUACGGAACUGCAUCCGAUACUGCCGUGCUUGAGCAAUGGACACGUAGCUGGAAAUUAUCGGUGUAGCAGUGAAA